AUUGAACGCUGGCGGAAUGCUUUACACAUGCAAGUCGAACGGCAGCACGGGGCAACCUGGUGGCGAGUGGCGAACGGGUGAGUAAUACAUCGGAACGUGCCCAAUCGUGGGGGAGUAACGUAGCGAAAGUUACGCUAAUACCGCAUACGAUCUACGGAUGAAAGCGGGGGAGUCGCAAGACCUCGCGCGAGUGGAGCGGCCGAUGUCAGAUUAGGUAGUUGGUGGGGUAAAGGCUCACCAAGCCAACGAUCUGUAGCUGGUCUGAGAGGACGACCAGCCACACUGGAACGUGAGACACGGUCCAGACUCCUACGGGAGGCAGCAGUGGGGAAGUUUUGGACAAUGGGCGCAAGCCUGAUCCAGCCAUUCCGCGUGCAGGAUGAAGGCCUUC
rnacentral:rRNA from 1 species